UAGAGGAAGGGAGAGACGGCAGCAGGUGAUUCCUAGUCUGUCAAGACCAAAAAGGGGCAGAAAGUGGCAUUGUUGCAUCAAAUGUUGUAACAAUGAGCAGAUGGUGAGAGCCUUCAUGUGACCAUCAAAUGAUCUUACAUUACUGCAAUUUCACGCACAUCUUCUUUUCCAAGCUUCAUAGUUUCCAUAUAUUAACUAUUUAAAAAGGAAACCACUUAUUGUUUAGUUGGUCGGUUGGUUGGUCGUUCGAUAGAUCGAACACUGAGGAAAGGCUGUUAUGAUGCAUUGAUGCCACUUCAUUAACUUUUUAUGUCAGCCUUUUUUCCUUGUGUUUACGUAUCUUCAGUCUUACUACCUUGCGGAACAGCCCGACAAACCAAAAAUUAUUUGCGUAUGUUUUUUCUUCCUGUGCUAAAUAGUACUGCAGUGACUAGUAUAAGUAUACAAUGAUGUUCCUUUUUGGUCUUUUACUAAAUUACAACUUCUCUGGCACAGAAAUUUGGUGAUUGUAGGACUAGGAACUUGCUACUGGUGUUGCUCAGCAGUCUAUGACAACGAGUUUGUUCCAGAUGGCGGUGAGGUGGCCUUUGUUCCUUUUUGAAAGUUCCUGAGAUCCUGUAUAGGUCUCUUGAUGUGAACCUUGUGAUUGGAAUGUCUUUCAAGGUCUGACCUUAUAUAGACUUUUGUUUAAACUGAUCGAUUUUUUGGAUGAACAUUACGAUUUCGCAACCAUUUGCCCAUUUUUAUCUAUGACUUGCUAGUUUUUUUUUUCUUAAGGUGCUAGAUUUGAUCGUCACUCUUUGUGGAGAUGAAUCAUAUGAGCAGCUAGAUGUUGUCAUGUAAUGUUCCAUAUGGUGAAGAGGAGACUGGUAAAGUACGUGCUAGGAGGUACUGUAUGUACAUAGUGAGUCAGUUGAAAAGCAGUGGCGGAUCUAUGAUCUCAAAACACUCUGGGGGUGCCACGGUUAAUUUUUUUAAUGUAAUUUGGUCUAAAUGUAUCAUAGCUCCAAAUUAGCAUUAAGAUGUUAGAUAAGUAUUGUUAGGUAAGGUUUCUUUGCGCAACCCUUACAUUUCCAUGUCAUGUUUGUGUUGUUUCCUUCAA